rnacentral:rRNA from 1 species
UACGUAGGUGGCAAGCGUUGUCCGGAAUUAUUGGGCGUAAAGCGCGCGCAGGCGGUCCUUUAGGUCUGAUGUGAAAGCCCACGGCUCAACCGUGGAGGGUCAUUGGAAACUGGGGGACUUGAGUACAGAAGAGAAGAGUGGAAUUCCACGUGUAGCGGUGAAAUGCGUAGAGAUGUGGAGGAACACCAGUGGCGAAGGCGACUCUUUGGUCUGUAACUGACGCUGAGGCGCGAAAGCGUGGGGAGCAAACAGG